UAUGGCCGGAGCAGGGGUUCGUGCAGAAAAUUUGCAGCGUUUCCUCGAUGCCGGGGUACGGGAAGUACACAGCUCAGCCGGAACUCUGAUGCCCUCACCGAUGCGCUAUCGCAAUCCAGGGUUGUCAAUGUCAGCCGAUAAACAGGCGGAUGAAUAUUCCCGCUAUGCGGUAGACGGUGCGGCAGUCGCUGAAAUGAAAGGAAUCAUUGUUCGCCAUCAGGCCAAAUGAUUUUUACCGUUGCAUCAUGUCGCCCAAUAUGAUGCUUGCUCGUACCAGGCCCCUGCCAAUUCAACAGGGGCCUUUUUUU
rnacentral:ncRNA from 1 species